CCUACGGGAGGCAGCAGUGGGGGAUAUUGCACAAUGGGGGGAACCCUGAUGCAGCGACGCCGCGUGGGUGAAGGAGUGCUUCGGCAUGUAAAGCCCUAUCGGCAGGGAAGAAGCAAGACGGUACCUGACUAAGAAGCCCCGGCUAACUACGUGCCAGCAGCCGCGGUACUACGUAGGGGGCGAGCAUUAUCCGGAUUCACUGGGGGUAAAGGGAGCGUAGACGGCCAUGCAAGCCAGGGGUGAAAGCCCGGGGCCCAACCCCGGGACUGCCCUUGGAACUGCAUGGCUGGAGUGCGGGAGGGGCAGGCGGAAUUCCUGGUGUAGCGGUGAAAUGCGUAGAUAUCAGGAGGAACACCGGCGGCGAAGGCGGCCUGCUGGACCGCGACUGACGUUGAGGCUCGAAAGCGUGGGGAGCGAACAGGAUUAGAUACCCUAGUAGUC
rnacentral:rRNA from 1 species